CACGUAGGGUGCGAGCGUUGUCCGGAAUUACUGGGCGUAAAGGGCGUGUAGGCGGUUAGUUAAGUCUGGCGUGAAAGCUCUCGGCUAAACCGGGAGAGGUCGUUGGAUACUGGCUGACUAGAGGACGGUAGAGGCGUGUGGAAUUCCGGGUGUAGUGGUGAAAUGCGUAGAGAUCCGGAGGAACACCAGUGGCGAAGGCGACACGCUGGGCCGUACCUGACGCUAAAGCGCGACAGCAUGGGGAGCAAACGGG
rnacentral:rRNA from 1 species